ACGCUGGCGGCAGGCCUAACACAUGCAAGUCGAGCGGUAGAGAGAAGCUUGCUUCUCUUGAGAGCGGCGGACGGGUGAGUAAUGCCUAGGAAUCUGCCUGGUAGUGGGGGAUAACGUUCGGAAACGGACGCUAAUACCGCAUACGUCCUACGGGAGAAAGCAGGGGACCUUCGGGCCUUGCGCUAUCAGAUGAGCCUAGGUCGGAUUAGCUAGUUGGUGGGGUAAUGGCUCACCAAGGCGACGAUCCGUAACUGGUCUGAGAGGAUGAUCAGUCACACUGGAACUGAGACACGGUCCAGACUCCUACGGGAGUCAGCAGUGGGGAAUAUUGGACAAUGGGCGAAAGCCUGAUCCAGCCAUGCCGCGUGUGUGAAGAAGGUCUUCGGAUUGUAAAGCACUUUAAGUUGGGAGGAAGGGUUGUAGAUUAAUACUCUGCAAUUUUGACGUUACCGACAGAAUAAGCACCGGCUAACUCUGUGCCAGCAGCCGCGGUAAUACAGAGGGUGCAAGCGUUAAUCGGAAUUACUGGGCGUAAAGCGCGCGUAGGUGGUUAGUUAAGUUGGAUGUGAAAUCCCCGGGCUCAACCUGGGAACUGCAUUCAAAACUGACUGACUAGAGUAUGGUAGAGGGUGGUGGAAUUUCCUGUGUAGCGGUGAAAUGCGUAGAUAUAGGAAGGAACACCAGUGGCGAAGGCGACCACCUGGACUGAUACUGACACUGAGGUGCGAAAGCGUGGGGAGCAAAC
rnacentral:rRNA from 1 species